rnacentral:rRNA from 1 species
GACGAACGCUGGCGGCGUGCCUAAUACAUGCAAGUCGAACGGUCUUUUCUAUGGAAGCUUGCUUCCACUGAGAAGAUAGUGGCGAACGGGUGAGUAACACGUGGGUAACCUGCCCAUAAGAGGGGGAUAACAUCCGGAAACGGGUGCUAAUACCGCAUAGUUUUCUUGAUCGCAUGAUCGGGAAAGGAAAGACGGCCUUUGUGCUGUCGCUUAUGGAUGGCGCCGCGGCGUAUUAGUUAGUUGGUGAGGUAACGGCUCACCAAGACGAUGAUACGUAGCCGGCCUGAGAGGGUGAUCGGCCACAUUGGGACUGAGACACGGCCCAAACUCCUACGGGAGGCAGCAGUAGGGAAUCUUCCGCAAUGGACGAAAGUCUGACGGAGCAACGCCGCGUGAGUGAAGAAGGUUUUCGGAUCGUAAAACUCUGUUGUCAGAGAAGAACAAGUUGGAGAGUAACUGCUCCAGCCUUGACGGUAUCUGACCAGAAAGCCACGGCUAACUACGUGCCAGCCGCCGCCGUAAGAC